CGCCGUGUGGUCAUACCAGACCUUCUGCUUCCUCUGGGCUCGGGCUAGAUUCUCCCUGGCCAGGCCCGUGAGCUCGGCAAGUCUUUCCCAGAAGGUGUGUCAAACUGGGAAUGUUCUU